rnacentral:rRNA from 3 species
AAGGUUGACCUCGGAUCAGGUAGGACUACCCGCUGAACUUAAGCAUAUCAAUAAGCGGAGGA